GAUGAACGCUAGCGGCAGGCCUAAUACAUGCAAGUCAAGGGGCUCGCAAGAGCACCGGCGGACGGGUGCGUAACGCGUACACAACGUACCUCAGAGCGGGGGAUAGCAUUGGGAAACUGGUGGUAAAACCCCAUGGUGUUGCUGAAUGGCAUCAUUUAGCAACUAAAGUUUACACUUUGAGAUCGGUGUGCGUCUGAUUAGCUAGUUGGCGGGGUAACGGCCCACCAAGGCGACGAUCAGUAGGGGGUGUGAGAGCAUGACCCCCCACAUGGUACGUNAGGACACGGACCCGAACCUACCUACCGGGAAGGGC
rnacentral:rRNA from 1 species